rnacentral:rRNA from 1 species
GAUGAACGCUGGCGGCGUGCCUAAUACAUGCAAGUAGAACGCUGAAGGAAGGAGCUUGCUCUUUCCGGAUGAGUUGCGAACGGGUGAGUAACGCGUAGGUAACCUGCCUGGUAGCGGGGGAUAACUAUUGGAAACGACAGCUAAUACCGCAUAACAGUAGAUGUUGCAUGAUAUCUACUUAAAAGGUGCAAUUGCACCACUACCAGAUGGACCUGCGUUGUAUUAGCUAGUUGGUGAGGUAACGGCUCACCAAGGCGACGAUACAUAGCCGACCUGAGAGGGUGAUCGGCCACACUGGGACUGAGACACGGCCCAGACUCCUACGGGAGGCAGCAGUAGGGAAUCUUCGGCAAUGGACGGAAGUCUGACCGAGCAACGCCGCGUGAGUGAAGAAGGUUUUCGGAUCGUAAAGCUCUGUUGUAAGAGAAGAACGAGUGUGAGAGUGGAAAGUUCACACUGUGACGGUAUCUUACCAGAAAGGGACGGCUAACAACGUG